AUUUAAUCACAACGCUUCAGAUAAACUCUCUGUGGAUUCAACUGGAACAAAGGGUGCGUUAUCAUUUAUUGCGUCCAUCAACCAGAAGGGAUAUUUAGUAAGCGAUAACACAGCUGCUGGUCUGAAGAUAAAUGUUCACGACCAGCAUCAAUUACCUGACGUUUCUAAUAAUGGAAUUAUAGCAUCCCCAGGUGCCUCUACACUUAUAGGACUACGCAAAGAGUCGUACAAUUUUUUACCCCCUCCCUUCAAGGCAUACGGUGAUAGUUCGUGUAUGGCAAAUGAUGAUCCAUCCUUGCUAUCUAAGAUGAAAUAUUAUUCAGUCUACAACAGAGAAACGUGUAUCAGGGAAUGUUUAGGGGAGAUAACUGUAAAAAAUUGCAGUUGUAAAUCAAUAACAGAACCAAACAGUCUACCACACCCAUACUGCACACUACAGGAACUGGUGAAUUGCUACAGACCAACAUUAGGUCUGUACUACAGUAAUAAUCAUUAUGAUGUGUGUGAUUGUCCUAGGGUCUGUACGUUUAAUAAAUACAAGACUCUUAUAUCAAUGGGGAUGUUUCCUUCAACAAACGCCAUGGAAGAGCUGAUUAAGAACAACAUUAUUGCCGGCAGACAAGUCGCAAGUACAGGUUUUUUGGAUAUCACAAUAUUCUAUGAAGACUUGCUACUGGAAGAAGUUCAGCAUGUUCCUGAAUACAGUACCUUGUCAAUCCUAGGUACAGUAGGAGGACAGAUGGGAUUAUUUCUAGGAGCUAGUGUUAUAACAUUAGCAGAGUUUAUGGAGAUGUUCCUGUGGUCAGUAUGGCUGAGCCUGGGGAAGAUUCACCGAAGAUUUCAAGGCGUUGGACCCAGCAGUUCUAUUACACCAGUUAAACCAAUAAAAUAAUAGUAUCCUAAUAUAUUUUAUACGCCCACAUUUCAAUGGGGGUGGGUUGCGUCACCAACCUGUCUGGCGAUGCGUCCGUCAACAAUAGGCUUGUGAACACAAUAUAGGCUACAGUUUUUGACGGAUUAUUUUUUUUUCACAUUUGGUAUAAAUCAUCGUGGUCAUGAAAUAUUCAACGCCACAUUUCAUUGUGGGCGUAUUAUGUCACAAACCUGUCCUUUGGUCCGCCGUCAACAACAGGCUUGUGAACGCGAUAUAGACUAUAGUUUUUGACGGAAUGUUUUUGACAAAUUUGGUAUGAUGCAUCGAGGACAUGAGAUAUUCAGUGUUCUGCGACCUUGCGUACCAGAGUAAUGCACGCUUUUCCGAAAACCUUGUGAACAGAAGUGUUCUACAACUUUCCGUUCUGGAGUUAUCCCUCCUUUGUCGAAAACCCCCUGACGCCGCGAUAGGGGAUGUAGUUUUAAAGGAUGUUUUUUUUUCAAAUUUGAUGUGAGGUAUUGUGGUCAUGAGAGAAAAAAAAACCUAUCGAUAUUCAGUGUUCUGCGACUUUUCGUAUCGGAGGUAUCCCCCCUUUGCCAAAAAUCGUGUAAAGCUAGAGUCUAUGGUUUUUAACGGAUUUCAUUCAAAUAUGUGAGGACGCAUUGGGAUCUUGAGAGCAUGAACCCUAUUGAUAAUAAGCGUUCGUCGACUUUCCGAAGAAUUCACCAAAUUUGAAGAACAUCCAAGUUUUCCCUUCAGAAGACAAAGCUGUUGUGUGGGUGUAUUUCCACGCUUUGUAUGACUAUCUUUUGUUAAUCCGAGAAUUAAGAGCAAGUGGUGUUGGCUUACGGGGGAAAUCGUGUACAGAAACGUCUGGCUAAAACUAGAUAGUUCUAUAAUUGUAUGUGUA